rnacentral:lncRNA from 1 species
AAUAAGGAGAGUUGGACCCUGACCAAGGAAAAGGAGAUCUGGAUCGUGACCAAGACCCAUGGCUGUGUCAGGGGACAUAGCCUGACCGUGUGUUGCAGAAGGAUGGUCGUGUGUCACAGAUGGAAGCCACCACGAGUCGUGUCAAGGAGCAAGACCAACUGGGAACAACCCACAACAUGUGUUAGGGGACACAGCCAGACCGUGGAAGCCUCUGUAAUAAAAUAUUCAAUCAAAUUAAUAGGACUCAAUCGUGUACCUUCAAGCACGAACGUGUACCCUGAAACUCAAUUAAUUGCUUCUUUUUCAACCAACCUUCUCUUGUAUAAAUACUUAUUCACAAGUUUUCAUUAUAAUUAUGGUCAAUACAAUAUAACUACAAC